rnacentral:rRNA from 1 species
CGGCGCACGGGUGCGUAACGCGUAUAGAACCUACCUUUUACAGAGGAAUAGCCUUUAGAAAUGAAGAUUAAUGCCUUAUGGUAUUAUAGACUGGCAUCAGUUUAUAAUUAAAGAUUUAUCGGUAAAAGAUGGCUAUGCGUCCUAUUAGUUAGUUGGUAAGGUAACGGCUUACCAAGACAGCGAUAGGUAGGGGUCCUGAGAGGGAGAUCCCCCACACUGGUACUGAGACACGGACCAGACUCCUACGGGAGGCAGCAGUGAGGAAUAUUGGACAAUGGAGGAGACUCUGAUCCAGCCAUGCCGCGUGUAGGAAGAAUGCCCUAUGGGUUGUAAACUACUUUUAUACAGGAAGAAACACUGGUAUGUAUACCAGCUUGACGGUACUGUAAGAAUA